AGGGUGUAAACGCUGCAGACUUGGUGUCGGUGGCCCUUUGGGGGCAUUCAGUGCCGGAGAGAAGUUGUUAAGUCUGCUACUUGGGGAGUACGUCCGCAAGGAUGAAACUUAAAGGAAUUGGCGGGGGAGCACCGCAACGGGAGGAGCGUGCGGUUUAAUUGGAUUCAACACCGUAAAACUCACCAGGGAAGACUGUUACAUGAAGGCCGAGAUGAAGACUCUGCUAGAUUUUCAGAGAGGUGGUGCAUGGCGUCAGUGACU
rnacentral:rRNA from 1 species